GGACUUUUAACUGGAAUGAAGCUUAGGUUAAUUUCAAAAUUUCUAUACUUUCAAGUAAGUUUAUUUUAAUUGUAUUUUAAAUUUAAACGCGCAGUUCUUGCAAUAUAGAACAAUAAUUGCUCCUUUUCCAUAAUGUUCAAUUAUGAAACAUUUCGCUCUUUUAACCACCCUUCUUUCUCCGUCUUGGAAUUAAAAUCCCUAUCUAAUAUGAAAAGUAAUCUUGUGGGCCUCGGCUAUUUAAUAUUCUAUAUAUUCAUUAUUCUUCUAAUUGAUAUAACAAUUUCACAUCCCAUGAAAAAAAGUUUUGAUUGAGGCUUGCAUUGUCGAUCAACCGUAAACUGAUAAGCUAUUUCUGAUGUUGAAGGCAUGUCAUUUCUUCUGAAUAGAGUAGCUCGGCUUAUUUGAACUUCUCUCCUCCCAGAAUUUAGAAACAAUUUAGUUCGCUCCAUAUCGCAACAGAAGGGAAGUUUGAAUAACCUCAUAUAUCGAAUGCGGGGAGAAUUUCACUAACUUUCAAUGAAAAUAAGUAAUUGGCUGGAGCAUCGAUAGGAAAACUUGGGUAAUCGAGCUUUAGAGAUAAAAAAUAAACAUUUUUAAAUGUAGCUAUUCUAAUUUUAUUUAUACAAAUUUGGUAUUGAACCUCUUUGAACUUAAACAUGUAAAAAAAAUCAUUUUCAUAAAAUUUUUAAAAAUAUGAAAUGUUUUAAGACAAAGACGUAGUUUGAAAGCAACGUUGCUUGUUGUAAACAAAAAAAGCACAAUUUGAUCACUUUUCUGCAAUUCACCUUCAAAAAUUUAAAAACGGUAAUCUUUACUUUCUGAAUUGAAUUACAGUUAUGUUUUGAACCUUGAGCUUCAGCGCAGAUUAUCCUACAAAAGUAUCUUGUACUAGAAUAAUAUCUAUAUAAAAACGGUAAUCGCUAGCAAUGAGUUGCCGCUGAACUAUUUUUAACUAUUUGAAACUUUCUAAGAUGAAUUAAAAUAUACACGCUUGAUGGACGCUUAGAUAGAAUGAGGAAGAAACAUUAAUAGUCUCUGGAUAUUCCAUGCAUGUGGCUUCUAAACGACGUGAGUGCCAGAAUUAUAUGGGUUUUACAUGGUAAAGGCUAAUGACAGAGACAAGAACCAUGGUGAUUGUUUUCUUGUGCCUUUUUCUACAAAUGUGCCGAUUGAAUGAAUGUUAAGUUGGCAUCUUCAAUGUGUAAAAAUGAUUGGAACAUUAGAUCUUGAAUUUAAACUGUUUCACUAAACCACAUAGUUUCUGUUAGAUUCAUUACAUUUUUUAAUCAUUUGAGUGAAAUGGAAAGUCACAGAAAUCAUUAAAGAAGCAGAUUAGCCGUUUAAUGGGAACAAUUGCACAACGUCAUUCACCAUAAGAAGAGGGACUGCCUUUACAGCUUUUGGCAAAAAGCACGGAUAGUAGCUGUCCAGAUGGCCAAAAAAAAAUUUUGUUUCACACAAAGUAAUAUCGGCUGGAUAACUUUUGACGCUUAAUAGAUACUAAUUUGCGUGAUAAAGAUAUGAUGCCAAACACCGUAUUUUCUCAGUUCCAUACACAUGUCAUCUAUAUCAAUUUUGCUGGAUGCGAGGAAGUAUUCGCUUAAGAUACGUCUAUGUAUCCAAAGGCACAAUUGACAUGUUUUGACCGAAAUGACCAUGGCUCAACAGGAAAUAUCUGGAACCUACAAGUGGAUUUUGGAAUUUGGACCCUUUUCAAAUUAAAUUAUGGUCAGAGAUCCAACAGAUAUAAUUGAUAGUUUCAAAAGCUAGGAAUAUUAAACCAAGUUCAAAAUGCAUCGCCUUUAAUACUCGCAAAUUAUCAAGACUUAAAUUCAGUCUGCACAGUGGAUUGAAAGUGAAAGGUUUAUGAUCUCUCCAUAUACCAGACAAGUGGUUUCAAAGAAACGAGGGCAAAAUCAUGUGGAUUUAACAUGUGUAAUCCGUGAUAGAAGAAAAUAACCAUGAAGAUUUCUUCUUAUUAAACUAUGGAAUCAAUGUUAAUUUGGAGGAUUUUUUUUUUUGUGCAAUGACAGCAAGAACUUGUGAGAUAACAUCCGUUUGCUCCAGUUUACUUGUACUUAAAUACUUGGGUGAAAUAGAACGUCAUAUAAAGCAAACAAAGAUCAACUAAUCUGCAUUUGAUUCUACAGCAGCGCACUGUGCAAAGAAUACAUCUGAUGUCAUCUAUUUGAAUAACGAAACUCCAUCUGUGGAAUGAAAGGCCUUUUCAGUUCCAGCUACAAACUCUAUAUACAAAGGAUGUCUGGAUGCACAGGAAAGAACGGUACUGAAGUGAUUUCGAUAUUAACAGGAGUUGGCCGAAAUGAUAGCGGUAAAACGGAUGGCAUUCAGAAUCUUCAUCAAGCGAAUAUUAGAACUCGGUGCCUUUAAAAGGAAAUAUUGGAUGGCGAUCCAACAGAUGCAGCUUGUGUCUUUGGUCUGAUAUUAGAGCAAACCCAAAAUGAGUAUUUUGUGCCAAUAUAUUAUCAAUGAUAUGCAUGGUGGAAAUGUAAAUGUAUAUGUAGUUAACAUUACUUGAGGAUAUCAAUACAUCUCUGAAAUACUUUGUUCUUCUAUUUUAAGGUGUUGAAUAUUUAUAUAUUUUUGGAGAAUUCUUUCAAUCAAUGCGUAAUUGUUCUUGAACUUGGAAUUCUUGGAACUUGGAAAAGGUUGAAGUGCAUGGAAUGUAAAUCGUUCAAAGCCUGUGUUUGGCAUAUGAAUCAAUAUUUCUUAACUGUUCUGGAAAUUGUUAUGCAUAUGUCCAUUUUAAUAGCUUCUGGUACAUUAUAUUUCCUUCAAAGUGGAUAUUUGUAUUCUACUCUUUUAGACACAAGUAUUUUUUUAAAUAUUAUAGACAUAUGAAACAUUUUUAUGGAUAAAUUAAAAUUUGAUAGUGUGUUUGAUUUUUUGCUGAAUAUCUAAAACCAAUUUCCAUCAAUUUUUCUUUCAACGCGUAUAAAAUUGACUUCAAAAUUUCAUUUGUAACCAUACUCUUAUUAGAAGUUAACAAGUCGAACUUUUGUUACUCUCCCAGCAAUAUAGCCAGUGAUCUCAACCACUGUCACAGAAUUGAAAUAAAAAAUAUAUAACGCCUUAAUUUGCAUUUG